rnacentral:rRNA from 1 species
GCCUAACACAUGCAAGUCGAGCGGCAGCGACAACAUUGACCCUUCGGGUGAUUUGUUGGGCGGCGAGCGGCGGACGGGUGAGUAAUGCCUAGGAAAUUGCCCUGAUGUGGGGGAUAACCAUUGGAAACGAUGGCUAAUACCGCAUAAUCUCUUCGGAGCAAAGAGGGGGACCUUCGGGCCUCUCGCGUCAGGAUAUGCCUAGGUGGGAUUAGCUAGUUGGUGAGGUAAUGGCUCACCAAGGCGACGAUCCCUAGCUGGUCUGAGAGGAUGAUCAGCCACACUGGAACUGAGACACGGUCCAGACUCCUACGGGAGGCAGCAGUGGGGAAUAUUGCACAAUGGGCGCAAGCCUGAUGCAGCCAUGCCGCGUGUAUGAAGAAGGCCUUCGGGUUGUAAAGUACUUUCAGUCGUGAGGAAGGCAUUAACGUUAAUAGCCGUUGGUUUUGGACGUUAGCGACAAAAGAAGCACC